rnacentral:lncRNA from 1 species
CCCGGGAGCCAAAAAUCGAGACCAAGAAUCAAAAACUAGUCAAACCGAGCUCGAUAUGUGAAAUCGGGCUGUCAGUCCAACCAGUGGCUAGACCGGAUUGGUCAGGUCAUCAUUGACCCAAAUCGAACCGAUAGCAGCCUAACAUGCUUGGGGUGUCGUAAAGGUGUCGCACCUGCAUCACCAGACAUGCAGUGUCGGUG